rnacentral:rRNA from 1 species
UGCCUUUUUGUGGGGGAUAACUGAGGGAAACUUCAGCUAAUACCGCAUAAGCUCUACGGAGGAAAAGCUUUUAGCUUUUCCAGUGCUCAGUAUUCAGUGUUCAGUAUUCAGAAAGAUUUUGGAAGGGAGUCACAUUGCUUCCCCAUAAAGGUCUUUCUGAAUACUGGACACUGAGCACUGAACACUGGAGCAGCGAAGCUGCGAAAAGAGGAGCCCGCGUCAGAUUAGGUAGUUGGUGGGGUAAAAGCCUACCAAGCCAAUGAUCUGUAGCUGUUGUGAGAGGAUGAUCAGCCACACUGGGACUGAGACACGGCCCAGACUCCUACGGGAGGCAGCAGUGGGGAAUACUGUUCAAUGGGGGAAACCCUGAUCCAGCAAUGCCGCGUGA